AUUGAACGCUGGCGGCAUGCUUUACACAUGCAAGUCGAACGAGUGGCGAACGGGUGAGUAAUGUAUCGGAACGUACCGAGUAAUGGGGGAUAACUAAUCGAAAGAUUAGCUAAUCCCGCAUAUUAUUCGAGCGGCCGAGAUCUGAUUAGGUUGUGGUGGGGGUAAAGGCCUACCAAGGCCACGAUCAGUAGCGGGUCUGGGAGGAUGAGCCGCAAAACUGGGACGGAGACAGGGCCCAACCCCCAACGGGAGGCAGCAGAGGGGAAUUUUGGACAAUGGGGGCAAGCCGGAUCCAGCAAUGCCCGGGAUCUGAAGAAGGUCUCCGGUCUGUAAAGGACUUUUGUCAGGGAAGCGGUACCUGAAGAAUAAGCACCGGCUAACUACGUGCCAGCAGCCGCGGUAAUUC
rnacentral:rRNA from 1 species